rnacentral:rRNA from 1 species
CAGCAUAGCACUGUUUAUCUCUGUGCCAGCAGCUGUGGUAAUGCAGAGGGUGCCACUUAUAAUCGAAUUACAAGCCUAGAGCGCGGCGUAGGUUGUUCGUUAAGUAAGAUGUAAAAGCCCCGGCCUCAACCUGCGGAGUUGCAUCCAAAAGUGGGGAGUUAGAGUACAGUAGAGGGGUGGUGGCAUCUCCCGUGUAGCGGUGAAAUGUGUAGAUAUGGGAAGGCACACCAGUGGAGAAGGCGAUCACCUGGAGUGAUACUGACACUGAGGUGCGAAAGCGGGGGGAGCAAACAGGAUUAGAUACCGUGGUAGUCCACGCCGUAAACGAUGUCAACUAGCCGUUGGAAUCCUUGAGAUUUUAGUGGCGCAGCUAACGCAUUAAGUUGACCGCCUGGGGAGUACGGCCGCAAGGUUAAAACUCAAAUGAAUUGACGGGGGCCCGCACAAGCGGUGGAGCAUGUGGUUUAAUUGGAAGCAACGCGAAGAACCUUACCAGGCCUUGACAUGCAGAGAACUUUCCAGAGAUGGAUUGUUGCCUUCGGGAACUCUGACACAGGUGGUGCAUGGCUGUUGUCAGCUCGUGUUGUGAGAUGUUGGGUUAAGUCCCGUAACGAGCGCAACCCUUGUCUUUAGUUACCAGCACGUUAUGGUGGGCAUUUUAAGGAGACUGCCGGUGACAAACCGGAGGAAGGUGGGGAUGACGUCAAGUCAUCAUGGCCCUUACGCCCUGGGCUACACACGUGUUCCAAUGGUCGGUACAGAGGGUUGCCAAGCCGGGAGGUGGAGCUAAUCUCACAAAACCGUUUGUAGUCCGGAUCGCAGUUUGCAAUUGGAUUGCGGGAAGUGGGAAUCGUUGGUAUUCGGGAAUCACAAUGUCGCGGGGAAUACGUUCCCGGCCCUUGUACACACCCCCCUUCACACCAUGGGAGUGGGUUCACCCAGAAGUAGGUUAGUUUACCCUUUAGGAGGCCGGUACCUAAGGUGGAUUCA